rnacentral:rRNA from 1 species
AUUGAACGCUGGCGGCAGGCCUAACACAUGCAAGUCGAGCGGAUGAAGGGGGCUUGCUCCUGGAUUCAGCGGCGGACGGGUGAGUAAUGCCUAGGAAUCUGCCUGGUAGUGGGGGAUAACGUCCGGAAACGGGCGCUAAUACCGCAUACGUCCUGAGGGAGAAAGUGGGGGAUCUUCGGACCUCACGCUAUCAGAUGAGCCUAGGUCGGAUUAGCUAGUUGGUGGGGUAAAGGCCUACCAAGGCGACGAUCCGUAACUGGUCUGAGAGGAUGAUCAGUCACACUGGAACUGAGACACGGUCCAGACUCCUACGAGAGGCAGCAGUGGGGAAUAUUGGACAAUGGGCGAAAGCCUGAUCCAGCCAUGCCGCGUGUGUGAAGAAGGUCUUCGGAUUGUAAAGCACUUUAAGUUGGGAGGAAGGGCAGUAAGUUAAUACCUUGCUGUUUUGACGUUACCAACAGAAUAAGCACCGGCUAACUUCGUG